UACGGGGGGGGCAAGCGUUGUUCGGAAUUACUGGGCGUAAAGGGCGCGUAGGCGGCCCGCUUAGUCGGACGUGAAAUCCCUCGGCUCAACCGAGGAACUGCGUCCGAUACUGGCGGGCUCGAAUCCGGGAGAGGGAUGUGGAAUUCCAGGUGUAGCGGUGAAAUGCGUAGAUAUCAGGAGGAACACCGGUGGUGUAGACGGCUUUCUGGACCGUAACUGACGCUGAGACACGAAAGCGUGGGGAGCAAACAGG
rnacentral:rRNA from 1 species